CCGGUGGUGCGGCCACACGAGGCGAGCACCCCUAGCGAGGCGAUGGGUGCGGCGGCGCGGGGAUGUCUCCUUGUGCUCGUGCCGUAGCGAAAUCCUAGCUGCCAUUUUUUUGGGUGUAUGAUAGGGCAAGAUUCAUUGUCUAAUGCUUGAGACCUACCUGAUGCAUUGAUUAUCUCUAAAUUUCUUGAUGUAGCUCUAGCUUUAUUACUCCCUUCAGAUUGGAGCGUGUUCCCCAUUGUCUGGCUGGUCCACGUUGCCAAAAUAUUUACAAGCAUCUGAUUUUCAGUUCAAUUGUCUGCGUAGCAAACUGAAAAUCCUGAAAUGUUGGUGCUUCUGUCUAUUUACUUGCCCCAUGCUCCCUGUUAUUUGUCUACAUCAUAAAGGAUUGCUUCAUUUAGAAUGUGAGAACUUUUAGUCAUUUAAGCUUGCUUAGUUCAACUGUUUCUAUGUGGUGCUGGUUGCCGCUUUCUAUGUUAGAGCAGAUGAACAAACGAAGAGAGUUACUAGCUUGGCAAAUUUCUCCUUGCUCCUGCUCUUCUUAAUUAGGUGAGUUGUUUGCCUUCCUCCCUAGCAGCGUAUUUGUAUCCUUUCUUUGUGUAAACAAAUUCAAAUAAUAUUUUCAUCAUGUUGUAUAUGAAUUAAAAACUAGGUUCCAACCAAUUAGAUGAUAAAUCAAAUAUAUUUAUUUGGUUGGUAUUGAAAUCAAUUGAUUACUAUCAGCUUCUCUGAUAGUUUUGACCUUUGGGGCGAAAGCAAAUUUAGGUCUUUGCUUUUGGAAAAUAGGAUGAUAGUGAAUGGUUCUCAAGUAUUUAAAUGUAUAUCCUAGAAUUAAACGUCUUGCAUGCUAAGCUACGUUCAUUCUGCUUUUAUUUAGCUAGCUGAAGGUUCCAAUCGGUUAGCUCAGAAAGUGCUAACAAGUAUGCGGCAUUGCAUAUGAGCUUCCUGGUUUUUCUAACUCAGCAUCCAAAUUCUUUGUUUGUAUUGGGGUUCAUGCAAUAUGGGGUGAUGGUUUACGAGAUCUUAUCUAAAUAGUAUUAGUUAGUGUAUGCUAUCUUGUUUGUUAAUAGCACCUUCUGAAUUAUCGGAUUCUUUAAAGGUGCUAAGGCAAUAUUUUAACUAUAGAAAACAAUUUUCAUUCAGGCUACUGCUGCUUCAUGAACCACCAAAGGUGAAAAUCGUUGUUUCGAUAGUUUUCCCUUGUUUGGCAGUGCAUUUCAGCUCCCUCCUAGUGCAGAUCAUGUACGCAACUGAAAUCCUCCAUUCUACAGUGAGAAGUAGUGUUUUCAUUCUUUGUUUCGUUUGGGGAUUGUGCAGUUGUGAACUAUGGGGUUGUGUAGUAGUGAACAAUUUUCAGACUAUAAGAAUGGAAUUGUGCAAUGAUGGUUAAUUAUUUCAUCCUUACAUGAUUCUUGCUAUCUGCAUUACUUUUGUGAUGAUAGGUCAUUAUGUCUUAGCAAUUCUCUCUUCCAUAUAUUGUUUUGUUUGCACUGGUUGCUACAUUCUGUGCACAUAUUACUGAGCAUAAGUCCAUUGUCAAUCAUGUCUUUACUUCACAUCAUUUGUCAGUUGUUCUAUUACUGAGCACAACCCAUUGUCAAUGAUAUGAUGCAUUUAUUCUUAUAUCAAUCUCUCUUCACUUUCUUCCUCAAUUAUUUGUUUUGUCAUUUCGUUAAAAUAACUGCUACCUACCCUAAGUUGGAAUCAGAAAUAUUUAUCUGCCUCCAGUUUUCCAGCUCCCAAUGGCUAGCUGCGAAUUUGAUACAGGUAGUAAGAUUACAAGACUUAAUAAAAGAAACUUCCAGUUACCUAAAAAAUUGAAGUCCACUGGUGAGCUUUAAUUUUUCCUCAUGAAUUUACUUUGCUACUGAAUUUAUGUUAAUGUUUUCACAUACAAAUUGGUCCAAGUCGGGAUUUUUCAUCUAGCGUAGCUGAUAAGAACCAUAUAUUUUCUUUUAUAGGUGCGUCUACAAGACCACUUCCAACAAGGCAACAAUUAUAGGGGAAUUCAAUAUAAUCAAGAGUGCUUCUAAUACUAAGUGGCCACUGUUACAUGCAACAAAGGAUCUGUCUUUGUUGCCUCCUACUCUAGCAUUUAAAAGUUGCAGGUGCCCUCUCCAAAGUCCAAAAUUUAGUUAUCGACACCAAAUAUAUCCAUCAGGCCUAACUUAUCUGCCUUAUUCUUGGUUUUCUUUCUAAAAUGGAACAACACCUGGUGCCUCCAAGAGCGGGAACGCCAGACAAACCGCGAUAAAGAAGACCCGAAAAGGAACCUGAAUAUACGAUCCAGGUCUCUUUUGCAUGCAGCCCACCUCAUUACCAUGUUUUGGGUAGCACCCCAGGCUUUUGUCAGCUCCGAAUACCUCAUUACGUUGUGUACCUAUCUAUUACUAGAAGCAUUUUACAUAGCUAUAAAUUGUAUGUCUACAACUCUGCAUAAAUACCAUGUUGUCUUUGCAUGACCCAGACUCAGCAUUGGUCUACUUCUUUGCGAUGCUGAACUACUGUUUUAUAUGUACUACCAUCAGAUUGUGAAUUUGUAUGAACAAAUACAUAUUUACUCAUACAAAUUACCACAUUUAUU